ACGCGUGAGUAACCUGCCUUUCAGAGGGGGAGUAACGUUCUGAAAAGAACGCUAAUACCGCAUGAGACUACAGAGCUGCAUGGCUCAGUGGUCAAAGGAGCAAUCCGCUGAAAGAUGGACUCGCGUCCGAUUAGGUAGUAGGCGGGGUAACGGCCCACCUAGUCGACGAUCGGUAGCCGGACUGAGAGGUUGAACGGCCACAUUGGGACUGAGACACGGCCCAGACUCCUACGGGAGGCAGCAUG
rnacentral:rRNA from 1 species